rnacentral:misc_RNA from 1 species
GUAGGUGAACCUGCGGAAGGAUCAUUAACACGUAUCCACGUAUAACCCCUGUGCAUUUGUAUUGUGUGCGAUCUACAGCGGGAGUGCUUACGGCGAUAUGGUGAGCCCUCUUCGGGGGGUCGGUCCGUAAGCUAGGGUCUUUCACGUCAGUGUCAGAACCCAGGCUGCCUGCUGUGGGAUGCAUUCACCAUGGUUGUUUUUCCCCACUUUAACACCUUGUAAAUAUUGUUAACUGAUUCUAAUGUGCAUC